UACGAAGGUGGCAAGCGUUGUUCGGAUUUACUGGGCGUACAGGGAGCGUAGGCGGUUGGAUAAGCCCUCCGUGAAAUCUCCAGGCUUAACCUGGAAAGUGCAGAGGGGACUGUUCAGCUAGAGGAUGGGAGAGGAGCGCGGAAUUCCCGGUGUAGCGGUGAAAUGCGUAGAGAUCGGGAGGAACACCGGUGGCGAAGGCGGCCUUCUGGACAGUGACUGACGCUGAGACGCGAAAGCGUGGGGAGCAAACAGG
rnacentral:rRNA from 1 species